UACGGAGGGGGCUAGCGUUGUUCGGAAUUACUGGGCGUAAAGCGUGCGUAGGCGGCUUUGUAAGUUAGAGGUGAAAGCCCGGAGCUCAACUCCGGAACUGCCUUUAAGACUGCAUCGCUAGAAUUGUGGAGAGGUGAGUGGAAUUCCGAGUGUAGAGGUGAAAUUCGUAGAUAUUCGGAAGAACACCAGUGGCGAAGGCGACUCACUGGACACAUAUUGACGCUGAGGUGCGAAAGCGUGGGGAGCAAACAGG
rnacentral:rRNA from 1 species